CGCAAGGGUGCCGCCGGUCUCAUCAGAAUCUCUGUUUCGAACCGACGAUACUUCUGAGUGUCUUAGCGAACUGUCAAACUCUUAACAACGGAUCUCUUGGCUCCAGCAUCGAUGAAGAACGCAGCGAACGCGAUAUGUAUGUGAAUUGCAGAAUUCAGUGAAUCAUCGAAUCUUUGAACGCACAUGGCGCCUUCCAGUAUCCUGGGAGGCAUGCCUGUCCGAGCGUCGUUUCAACCCUCGAGCCCUGUGCCCGGCGUUGGGAUCUGCCACGGCAGGCCCUAAAACCAGUGGCGGACCGAAGGCCUCUCCUUUGCGCAGUAGCAUUCGCCUCGCACCGGAGUCCUCGGCGUCCUGCCUCCAAACCCCCACAAGCCCGCUUCGGCGGCACAAGGUUGACCUCGGAUCAGGUAGGAAUACCGCUGAACUUAA
rnacentral:rRNA from 1 species